CAGUCGCCGCGGUAAUACGAAGGGGGCUAGCGUUGUUCGGGAUUACUGGGCGUAAAGCGCACGUAGGCGGAUAUUUAAGUCAGGGGUGAAAUCCCAGAGCUCAACUCCAGAACUGCCUUUGAUACUGAAGAUCUUGAGUUCGGGAGAGGUGAGUGGAACUGCGAGUGUAGAGGUGAAAUUCGUAGAUAUUCGCAAGAACACCAGUGGCGAAGGCGGCUCACUGGCCCGAUACUGACGCUGAGGCACGAAAGCGUGGGGAGCAAACAGGAUUAGAUACCCCCGUAGUCCCUGUCUCUUAUAA
rnacentral:rRNA from 1 species